rnacentral:rRNA from 1 species
GAUGAACGCUGGCGGCGUGCCUAAGACAUGCAAGUCGAGCGGGUUUAGACCCGCGGCAAACGGGUGAGUAAUAUCUAGGAAUGUCCCACUAGUUGAGCAUAACCUACCGAAAGGUAGAGCAAUUCUCAAUGUGACCGCAAGGUCAAAGUCGCAAGACGCUAGUGAAGCAGCCUGGACACCAUCAGCUAGUUGGUAAGGUA